GACGAACGCUGGCGGCGUGCUUAACACAUGCAAGUCGAACGAAGAGCGAUGGAAGCUUGCUUCUAUCAAUCUUAGUGGCGAACGGGUGAGUGACGCGUAAUCAACCUGCCCUUCAGAGGGGGACAACAGUUGGAAACGACUGCUAAUACCGCAUACGAUCUAAUCUCGGCAUCGAGGAUAGAUGAAAGGUGGCCUCUACAUGUAAGCUCUCACUGAAGGAGGGGAUUGCGUCUGAUUGGCUAGUGGGAGGGGUAACGGCCCACCAAGGCGAUGAUCAGUAGCCGGUCUGAGAGGAUGAACGGCCACAUUGGGACUGAGACACGGCCCAGACUCCUACGGGAGGCAGCAGUGGGGAAUCUUCCGCAAUGGACGAAAGUCUGACGGAGCAACGCCGCGUGAGCGAUGACGGCCUUCGGGUUGUAAAGCUCUGUUAAUCGGGACGAAAGGCCUUCUUGCGAAUAGUGAGAAGGAUUGACGGUACCGGAAGAGAAAGCCACGGCUAACUACGUG
rnacentral:rRNA from 1 species